GCGUGAAUGAUGAAGGCCUUCGGGUUGUAAAGUUCUUUUGGUAGGGACGAUGAUGACGGUACCUACAGAAUAAGCUCCGGCUAACUUCGUGCCAGCAGCCGCGGUAAUACGAAGGGAGCUAGCGUUGUUCGGAAUUACUGGGCGUAAAGGGUGCGUAGGCGGUUUAACAAGUCAGGUGUGAAAGCCCUGGGCUCAACCCAGGAACUGCGCUUGAGACUGUUAGGCUAGAAUUCGGGAGAGGUGAGUGGAAUUCCCAGUGUAGAGGUGAAAUUCGU
rnacentral:rRNA from 1 species